CCUACGGGGCGCAGCAGUGGGGAAUAUUGCGCAAUGGGCGAAAGCCUGACGCAGCGACGCCGCGUGAGGGAUGAAGGUCUUCGGAUCGUACACCUCUGUCAGCAGGGAAGAACGGUCACUGUGCUAAUCAGCAGUGAAUUGACGGUUCCUGCAAAGGAAGCACCGGCUAACUCCGUGCCAGCAGCCGAGGUAAUACGGAGGGUGCGAGCGUUAAUCGGUCUUACUGGGCGUAAAGCGCCCGUAGGCGAGAUGUCAAGUCCAGGGUGAAAUCGCCGCUCUCAACGUGGGAACUGCCUUUGAAACAGGCAAACGGGAGUGUGUGAGAGGAUAGUGGAAGUCCAGGUGUAGGAGUGAA
rnacentral:rRNA from 1 species